GACGAACGCUGGCGGCGUGCUUAACACAUGCAAGUCGAACGGAAAGGCCCUGCUUUUGUGGGGUGCUCGAGUGGCGAACGGGUGAGUAACACGUGAGUAACCUGCCCUUGACUUUGGGAUAACUUCAGGAAACUGGGGCUAAUACCGGAUAGGAGCUCCUGCUGCAUGGUGGGGGUUGGAAAGUUUCGGCGGUUGGGGAUGGACUCGCGGCUUAUCAGCUUGUUGGUGGGGUAGUGGCUUACCAAGGCUUUGACGGGUAGCCGGCCUGAGAGGGUGACCGGCCACAUUGGGACUGAGAUACAGCCCAGACUCCUACGGGAGGCAGCAGUGGGGAAUAUUGCACAAUGGGCGGAAGCCUGAUGCAGCAACGCCGCGUGCGGGAUGACGGCCUUCGGGUCGUAAACCGCUUUCGCCUGUGACGAAGCGUGAGUGACGGUAAUGGGUAAAGAAGCACCGGCUAACUACGUG
rnacentral:rRNA from 1 species